UUGACUAAUUCUUUAAUUAUGAAAGAAGACCGAACGUUAAUUUAUAUAUUCAGCAAGCAUUGAAAGCAGAUACCCAGAAAAUUGAUUCCAUGGUGGAGUACCUCCUGUUACUUUCACUAGGAAACUUCUCAGUAUCUGCAUUUCAUAACUGAUACUCCGAGAAAAAGAAAAUUGAAAACAUAUUCGCUAGUAAAAGCAAUUGAGAAUUAAAAAAAACUUUUAUUAUAUACGUCUAUGGGCACCGUCUGGCGAAAGGCCUUGAUCAGAUGCCAUGAAAUGUCUUUUCAAUUGAUAUGUAUCUCCCUACUCGUUCUCCAUCACAGAAGAAAUACAAUAUCCACCAGAAAGUACCAAAGCGACCGGCUCCAGUGAAAAUAACCCAAUUCCAUUUUUCCCAAGGAUAACCGCUGCAGAAAAUCAAAAAAAGAAAUAAUAUCAAGAAAGGAAUGGAUCCUACUUUUGAAAGACAAAUGAAGCAAAUUGGACUGGCUGGGUUUGGAAUUUAGGAGAUGCUAUUCAAAAGUCAUCAGAUCCGAAGACUGUCUCGGGCAAUAUUCUCGGCCCAUAUAUUAUGUAGACAUUUCAGCAUACCGGUUCAUCCGUCGUUUUCUCUUUCUUCUGCCUGCGCACGCGAGAAGAAGAUUCACUGAAGAAGCGCGUAUAGGAAAAGCCAAUUUAUGAUGAGACGCUUCGUUAUAAAAUUUGCAGAGGAACGAAUUGCAAAUUUGAUUUCUUUGGUCGAAGCUAGAACACGAAAAGGCGCCUUUAUCAUUUAUAAUAUAUGUACACAUAUGUAUAUGCAUACAUACAUACAUAUAUACAUACAUAUAUACAUA